rnacentral:rRNA from 1 species
GUUUACAGCUACACUACUCUGAACAUGGCCUGUCUUAUCUGAUCUAAAUAGGAAUGGGUCGGGUUAGUAGCUGAAUGGAAGACUACGUGAGAAUAUUAGGUGCUGUAGGCU